rnacentral:rRNA from 1 species
GACGGAGGAUGCAAGCGUUAUCCGGAAUUAUUGGGCGUAAAGCGUCCGCAGGUGGCUGUUCAAGUCUGCUGUCAAAGCGCAGAGCUUAACUCUGUACAGGCGGUGGAAACUGAAGAGCUAGAGUAUGGUAGGGGUAGAGGGAAUUCCCGGUGUAGCGGUGAAAUGCGUAGAUAUCAGGAGGAACACCGGUGGCGAAAGCGCUCUACUGGACCGCAACUGACACUCAGGGACGAAAGCUAGGGGAGCGAAUGGG